UUGUGGCUCAGUGGUAGAGCACUUGUCUAGCAUGCAUGAGGCACUGGGUUCAAUCCCCAACAA
rnacentral:tRNA from 1 species